rnacentral:rRNA from 1 species
AUCUCGGCUCUCGCAUCGAUGAAGAACGUAGCGAAAUGCGAUACUUGGUGUGAAUUGCAGAAUCCCGUGAACCAUCGAGUCUUUGAACGCAAGUUGCGCCCGAAGCCUUCGGGCUGAGGGCACGCCUGCCUGGGCGUCACGCAUCGCGUCGCCCCCCACCUCCGCUCGAACGAAGCGGC